GAUGAACGCUGACAGAAUGCUUAACACAUGCAAGUCGAUGGGGAAGUGGUGCUUGCACCAUGGCAACCAUGGCGGACGGGUGAGUAACGCGUAAGGGACUUACCUGCAGGACUGGGAUAACACGGGGAAACUCCUGACAAGACCGGAUAAUGUCAUGGAGCUGCAUGGCUUUAUGAUGAAAGGAGACGCCUGCGGAGAGCCUUGCGUCCUAUUAGCUAGUUGGUGAGGUAAUGGCUCACCAAGGCGAAGAUAGGUAGCCGGCCUGAGAGGGUGGACGGCCACAAGGGGACUGAGAUACGGCCCUUACUCCUACGGGAGGCAGCAGUGGGGAAUAUUGGACAAUGGGGGCAACCCUGAUCCAGCAAUUCUGUGUGCACGAAGAAGGUUUUCGGAUUGUAAAGUGCUUUCAGCAGGGAAGAAGUAAGUGACGGUACCUGCAGAGGAAGCGACGGCUAAAUACGUG
rnacentral:rRNA from 1 species